CUUUGUCUUCAUGCUUUGCUGUGCCCUUCCCAUUCCUUUCCGGUUGUAAAUGUCACUCCCAGAAAAGGGAAAUAACCCCUUGGAUGGCUCUGCCCAGCCCUGAAGAGCUGCAGGAAAAGGAAUGCCACGCAAUGAUCAUAGGAACUGCAGGGUCCAUAGAUUUCGACUGCUGGAAGAACUUGCCCUAGGAAUCUGAAGCAGCGUGGUUGAGCUGUCUUAAAAAUGUAUUGAGGUUGAAACAAAAAGAAGAAACCUGAUGCCUUGUGGAUUCACAGGACUAUAAGAAAUCAACGUGUGA
rnacentral:lncRNA from 1 species